GACGUAGGGCGCAAGCGUUGUCCGGAUUUAUUGGGCGUAAAGAGCUCGUAGGCGGCUUGUUGCGUCGUCCGUGAAAACCCGCAGCUCAACUGCGGGCUUGCGGACGAUACGGGCAGGCUGGAGUUCGGUAGGGGAGACUGGAAUUCCUGGUGUAGCGGUGAAAUGCGCAGAUAUCAGGAGGAACACCGGUGGCGAAGGCGGGUCUCUGGGCCGAUACUGACGCUGAGGCGCGAAAGCUAGGGUAGCAAACGGG
rnacentral:rRNA from 1 species